rnacentral:rRNA from 1 species
UACGUAGGGUGCGAGCGUUGUCCGGAAUUACUGGGCGUAAAGAGCUCGUAGGUGGUUUGUCGCGUUGUUCGUGAAAACUCACAGCUUAACUGUGGGCGUGCGGGCGAUACGGGCAGACUGGAGUACUGCAGGGGAGACUGGAAUUCCUGGUGUAGCGGUGGAAUGCGCAGAUAUCAGGAGGAACACCGGUGGCGAAGGCGGGUCUCUGGGCAGUAACUGACGCUGAGGAGCGAAGGCGUGGGGAGCGAACGGG